rnacentral:rRNA from 1 species
UACGGAGGGGGCUAGCGUUGUUCGGAAUUACUGGGCGUAAAGCGCGCGUAGGCGGCUUUGUAAGUUAGAGGUGAAAGCCCGGAGCUUAACUCCGGAACUGCCUUUAAGACUGCAUCGCUAGAAUUGUGGAGAGGUAAGUGGAAUUCCGAGUGUAGAGGUGAAAUUCGUAGAUAUUCGGAAGAACACCAGUGGCGAAGGCGACUUCCUGGCCUGUUCUUGACGCUGAGGCGCGAAAGCUAGGGUAGCAAACGGG